AUUGAACGCUAGCGGGAUGCCUUACACAUGCAAGUCGAACGGAGUGGCGAACGGGUGAGUAAUGUAUCGGAACGUGCCCAGUAGCGGGGGAUAACUACGCGAAAGCGUAGCUAAUACCGCAUACUAUUGGAGCCGCAGAUCGCGGAGUGGCUAGGUGGUGGGGGAAGGGCUAACCAAGGGGACGAUCCGUAGCUGGUUUGAGAGGACGACCAGCAACACUGGGACUGAGACACGGCCCAGACUCCUACGGGAGGCAGCAGUGGGGAAUUUUGGACAAUGGGGGAACCCCUGAUCCAGCCAUCCCGCGUGUGCGAUGAAGGCCUUCGGGUUGUAAAGCACGUUCAGCGGGGAGGCGUUACCCGCAGAAGAAGCACCGGCUAACUCCGUGCCAGCAGCCGCGGUAAUUC
rnacentral:rRNA from 1 species